CAACGCCGCGUGAGUGAAGAAGGUUUUCGGAUCGUAAAGCUCUGUUGUUAAGGAAGAACGUGUGUGAGAGUGGAAAGUUCACACAGUGACGGUACUUAACCAGAAAGGGACGGCUAACUACGUGCCAGCAGCCGCGGUAAUACGUAGGUCCCGAGCGUUGUCCGGAUUUAUUGGGCGUAAAGCGAGCGCAGGCGGUUAGAUAAGUCUGAAGUGAAAGGCAGUGGCUCAACCAUUGUAGGCUUAUGGAAACUGUUUAACUUGAGUGCAGAAGGGGAGAGUGGAAUUCCAUGUGUAGCGGUGAAAUGCGUAGAUAUAUGGAGGAACACCGGUGGCGAAAGCGGCUCUCUGGUCUGUAACUGACGCUGAGGCUCGAAAGCGUGGGGAGCGAACAGGAUUAGAUACCCUGGUAGUCCACGCCGUAAACGAUGAGUGCUAGGUGUUAGGUCCUUUCCGGGACUUAGUGCCGCAGCUAACGCAUUAAGCACUCCGCCUGGGGAGUAAGACCGCAAGGUUGAAACUCAAAGGAAUUGACGGGGGCCCGCACAAGCGGUGGAGCGUGUGGUUUAAUUCGAA
rnacentral:rRNA from 1 species